GAGUUUGAUCCUGGCCAGGACGAACGCUGGCGGCGUGCCUAACACAUGCAAGUCGAACGGGGUCCAUGAGAGCUUGCUCUCGGACGACCUAGUGGCGAACGGGUGAGUAACACGUGAGAAACCUGCCUUGGAGUGGGGAAUAACUCGGGGAAACUCGAGCUAAUACCGCAUACCUUCCUUUGAUCGCAUGGUCAGCUGAAGAAAGAAUUUCGCUCCAAGAGGGUCUCGCGGCCUAUCAGUUUGUUGGUGGGGUAACGGCCUACCAAGACUACGACGGGUAGCUGGUUUGAGAGAACGAUCAGCCACACUGGAACUGAGACACGGUCCAGACUCCUACGGGAGGCAGCAGUGGGGAAUCUUGCGCAAUGGGCGAAAGCCUGACGCAGCAACGCCGCGUGCGGGAUGAAGGCCUUCGUGGUUGUAAACCGCUUUCAGCAGGGACGAAAAUGACGGUACCUGCAGAAGAAGCCCCGGCUGACUACGUGCCAGCAGCGCGGUAA
rnacentral:rRNA from 1 species